CCUCCUAUCCUGAGUUAAAGAGCUGCCAGGGGAACAGGUCCCCUAGUGUCCAUCCAGGAUUGUCUAGUUUGGAAUGAGGUCUGCUGAAGUUGGUGCAAAUUGCCUGGAGUGGUCUUGCCUGGAGGAAGGUUCCCAAAGCAGGAGUCACCGCUGCAGAUCCUUUGCAGAUGGAGACCAUUACUAAAAAACACACCUGGUCAAAAUGCAGAGAACAACUGGCCAUGGAGUGCUGAACUCCCAAAGCUACAUCCACAACACAACCCCCACAUCAAGGCUCAAGGAACACUGGGGAAGAGGAGGAUGUGGAGAGAUUGUAAGAGCCAGAGGACCAGGAAAUCUGCUGUGAGAUUGUGCCUCCCAGGAAUGGCAGGGAAGCCUCGGCAAUACGGCUACCUAAAUGAGGACAAUACCAAUAGACAUGGAAAGGGGAAAUCUCACAACGGCCCAUAUCUAGAGGAGGAACUGUGGGAAACUAAGGAAUGCCAUGAACAGGAGGUAAGCAGGAGAAAUAAUGGAAUUCAAAUUGGAAUGACCAUGUGAAAAAAAACUUCUGCCCACCAGGUGUUUAUCCCAGUCCAUAAAAACAACUAUUUGAAGGUAAUGAAAAACCACUCCCCGUUGGGGAAGCAAAUGGAACCACAUGGUCCAGUUUGAGAGAGAGCGGAAAACCCAGGGAGCAGACGACAGGAACUGAAUGUCAAACAGGAUCCGCACAGAUUCCCUCAGGAAGUCUUUCCAAGAUGAGGCCCCAGGGAGGCCUGAGACUCUGGACAUCCAACCACCCGCCAGCUGGCCACAUGCCUUCCAUUGUCAAACACACAGGCUGCUCCGCUUCCGUGGGAUGUGGGCAGGCACAUCUACCCAGUGCCUGAGCAUGCAUCUCACUUCAGAUCCUGUUUUGAUGCCCUAUUGGACUUCCCCGCCCAGUUCUUUCUUUCUUCCUCCAUUACCCCUGACGAUAAAGACACAGGCUUUUACGGUUGGCAGAGUUUACUGCUAAUCAUGAGAAAGUAAAAUAGGGGAUAAGACCAACAAAGAUGAAGACACUUAUUUACC